ensembl:lncRNA
ACAGGAGGGUGCUCUGAAGGAGCGGGCACUGAAGGGGCGGGACGGGACCAGUGGAGGCGAAGGAGAUGAAGGAGGGCUGGACAGGACCAGCAGAGACGAGGGAGGGCUGGACAGUACCAGCGGAGGCGAAGGAGAAGGAGGGCUGGACAGUACCAGCGGAGGCGAAGGAGACGAAGGAGGGCUGGACAGGACCAGCAGAGGUGACGAAAACACUGGGCUUAAGUAACAGGGAGUAAAGAUAAUUAAUCAAACACAGGAGGAACCAAAUGGACAUAAUGAACUAUAAUGAGGACAGGAACAGGAAAAUAAC